UACGGGGGGGGCAAGCGUUGUUCGGAAUUACUGGGCGUAAAGGGCUCGUAGGUGGCCAACUAAGUCAGACGUGAAAUCCCUCGGCUUAACCGGGGAACUGCGUCUGAUACUGGUUGGCUUGAGUGUGGGAGAGGGAUGCGGAAUUCCAGGUGUAGCGGUGAAAUGCGUAGAUAUCUGGAGGAACACCGGUGGCGAAGGCGGCAUCCUGGACCACGACUGACACUGAGGAGCGAAAGCCAGGGGAGCAAACGGG
rnacentral:rRNA from 1 species